rnacentral:rRNA from 1 species
CCUACGGGGUGCAGCAGUGGGGAAUCUUGGGCAAUGGGCGCAAGCCUGACCCAGCAACGCCGCGUGAGGGAAGAAGGCUUUCGGGUCGUAAAAUUCUUUUCUCAGGGACGAACAAAGUGACGGUACCUGAGGCCUACGCCACGGCUAACUACGUGCAAGCAGCCGCGGUACUACGUAGGAGGAACGCGUUAAACGGAUUUAUUGGGUGUAAUGGGCGUGUAGGCGGGUGCGCAAGUCAGAUGUGACAGCUCCGGGCUCAACCCUGGGGCGGCAUUUGAAACUGUGUUUCUUGAGUGCUGAAGAGGCGAGUGGAAUUCCGUGUGGAGCGGUGAAAUGCGUAGAUAUACGGAGGAACACCAGUGGCGAAGGCGGAUUGCUGGACAGUAACUGACGCUGAGGCGCGAAAGCGUGGGGAGCAAACAGGAUUAGAUACCCGAGUAGUC